rnacentral:rRNA from 1 species
UACGUAGGAGGCAAGCGUUGUCCGGAAUUACUGGGCGUAAAGCGCGUGUAGGUGGUGGGACAAGUCUGCUGUGAAAGCGCCUGGCUUAACCGGGCGAGGUCGGCGGAAACUGUCCGACUCGAGGACGGUAGAGGGGGGUGGAAUUCCCGGUGUAGUGGUGAAAUGCGUAGAGAUCGGGAGGAACACCUGUGGCGAAGGCGGCCCCCUGGGCCGGUAUUGACGCUGAGGCGCGAAAGCCAGGGGAGCAAACGGG